rnacentral:rRNA from 1 species
GACGAACGCUGGCGGCGUGCUUAACACAUGCAAGUCGAACGGUGAAGCGCCUUCCUUUUUGGUGGGUGUGGAUGAGUGGCGAACGGGUGAGUAACACGUGAGUAACCUGCCCCCUUCUUCUGGAUAACCGCAUGAAAGUGUGGCUAAUACGGGAUAUUCUGGGUCUGUCGCAUGAUGGGUCUGGGAAAGAUAUUGUUUCGGUGGGGGAUGGGCUCGCGGCCUAUCAGCUUGUUGGUGGGGUGAUGGCCUACCAAGGCGGUGACGUGUAGCCGGCCUGAGAGGGUGGACGGUCACACUGGGACUGAGACACGGCCCAGACUCCUACGGGAGGCAGCAGUGGGGAAUAUUGCACAAUGGGCGCAAGCCUGAUGCAGCGACGCCGCGUGAGGGAUGGAGGCCUUCGGGUUGUGAACCUCUUUCGCCAGUGAAGCAGGCCUGCCUCGUUUGUGGGUGGGUUGACGGUAGCUGGAUAAGAAGCGCCGGCUAACUACGUG